UUAGACAUUAUUUGCACGCUGCAAGUUAAUGUAACAAAAUACCAGGAUCGAUUUAUAUACUGUCAUAUGGACUGUUUUAAAUUGAAUGUUUAUAAUGGUUUUAAUUGCUGUUUUAAUUGUAACUGUGUGCUUUAAUGUAUUGUUUGGCAUCUAAUGGUUGCCUAUUGUAAGCCGUCCUGAGUCCCUCUUUGGAGGUGAGAAGAACAGGAUAUAAAUGCUCGAAAUAAAUAAAGAAAUAGCAUCUAUAUAGGCCUAUGAUUCGUAAUUCUAAUUUUGACCAAGAAGUAUCUAUACGGAGUAAUCUACAGUGCUGUUUACCACUUUGCAGGAUAUGUUAUGGAUUUAAAAGCAGAUUUUGAUUGUGAAUUCGUUUUAUUUAAAGCAGGAAACACACUUGGGGCCUGGAUGCCUACUGAAGGUCCCACCACUGUAUCAAGUCUUGUGAUACGGUCCAAAGGGCAAUGGAUAGGUGUUGGAGUAGAUUAUCUAAUGUAUAGUCAACAUAUAUUUGGGACUUCUGUUUUAAGUAAUCUCAAAAACAUUAUAUUAUCAGAAGGAUGUUAGUUAUAUUCUUGAUGAUGAUGCCUAUAUAGUUUUUAUUACAGGGCUCAAUCCAUCAUAGAAGAAAUGUUGGACAUCACUCAUGACAAUUAAAAUGCAAUUUGGUAGUGUGCGGGCCCAGAACUCAAAGUUGGAGAUGCACCAAUGACCAUGCAAAGAACACCAUUAAAGGCAAGUAAUCUGGCCUUAUAACCUCAUAAUUUUAUCAGAAUAUAUUUCAACUGGUUGAAAGAGACAGAAGGAGCAUGUAGCAGUGACAGUGGUCUGUGGAAAGGGUUGCUAACAGAAUACAUUUUUAAAAGUGUAUAAUUUAACAGCUGGAUAACCUUUUCUUCUUCAAAGAACACUAUUGAUAAUGGAGAAUACAACAGGAAAUAAGUGUAGUGGCAUUUUCCCCAACAUUGCAAUUUUAGCAAGCAAAGUGAGAAAACACAGAACACUUCACAAAUACAUCAUGCGCUAAUAAAGAAAAGACGGUCAUUAGAAAAUCCAGUAAGAUGUUUGAGCCAAUUCCAGGGAUCCUCCAUAUUGGCUACAAAUAACUGUUUACCAUCAGAUACUGACCUCUCCAUUUUGUCUCUUUCUCCAUCAGAGAAGAAAUUUAAACCACCUAUACCUGAUAAAUCCCGAUGCAGGAAAUAUCUGGUAAUUUCAAAACAAUUCAUUGGCUGCACAGAAUGUUUGUAUCCAUUCUGAGAAGUGUCCCCUUGAUAGAGGAAGAAUCCUGGUGACUCAAUGAUGAUCUUGGCAUCCUCUGAAGAUCUUGGCAUCCACUGAAGAUGCCAGCCACAGAUGCAGGUGAAACAUCAGGAUAAAAUACUGCUAGAACAUGGCCAUACAGACUGGAAACUACACAACACCCCAUCUUGGAAGUUGUUUAAAUUUUGAAAAAGCCAUUUAUAUCCAGGUUUGAAAAAUCACUGAUUUGACUUCGGUGCUUUCAGACAGAGGGCUCCUAGUAUUACAAUUCAAAUGGUAUUGUGGAACCAUUAUAGUUUCUUCCCUUCAGUGGCUUGUUUUUGUGGAAAGAAAACUGAUAGAAGAACUGAUGAAGAAAUACAAGAGGUUUACAAAUGGAAGAGGGUUAUCAGUUGAAUUCCUUGCAAAGUUCCAUCAUAGAGCAAAGCAAUUCAUGAUUUUUAGAACUCCUCAUGUUCAAGCACUCUUAGAAUAAUUAAAAACAAUCUAUGGUAUUUUUUUGGAAUCAUUAUUACAAACUUAUGUGGAAAUUGUUUUCAUAACUUCUGAUAAAAGGGAAACCUUUACCAUUUUUAAAAGAGGUCUUCCUAUUCAAUAUAAUAAAAAAACUUUUUGAAAAUUUGUAAAAUUGAAGUUACAAAAACAACUUCUAUACAAUAUUAUAAUGCUAUAAAUCAUUUAAAAAAAGAAAACACCAAUUAGCCUGAAAUGUAAGAUCUGAAAACUAAGCAAAUGUCAUUUCUAAUUAAAAAUUUGAAUUUUCCACAUGCAGCAUUCUUUCUGGUACCAAAACCAGCAUUAAAAAAUAAAAUUUGGAAAAACUUAAUCCCUGUUAGGACUUUCUGCAGAGUUCACUUUGAGUCUUACAUACAUUUUUCAAGUGCCCCCAAGCCAUAAGUCUCAUAUCAUACCAAGCAGUUAAUUAACUAUAGAGAAUUGCUGGUUGAACCCAGGUUACCUACAUAUUGAGCAGAAAGGAAGACGCACACACAGUAUGCAUAAUCACUUUUCCUGUUUUCCAGUUUUCACUGUACACAAAACCAUAUACCAAAAGGCAAUCAUUCUAACAUGAGUUUGCAUGAACUAGAGCCCACUUCACUGAAUGCAUCCACAGGUGGAGGAAGAGAAAGACAAUAAGUGGUUGUCUUCACACAAAAAGAAAGAAAGAAAGAAAGAAAGAAAGAAAGAAAGAAAGAA